AGUUUGGCUUCAAUAACUUAUUUGGCUUAUAAAUUUCAUGUGUAACUGGGAAUAGUAAGAAGAAUUGGCUGAAAACCAUUAUGAAAUAGAAAUGUUUCACUGUAUUUGAUAUAUUUAACAUGAGCAUGUCUUGGAAGAAAAGUUGUGUCAAUUGUACAUAGUAUGUAUGUGUUUAUGUAUUACAGCUAAGUAUGGAAGCUAUACAUUGAUCGAUGUGGACACACAUCAAGUUUUGGACAUCCAGUUGGUGCAGUCAAAUGAAGUGGCCAAUUCGAAUGCCAUGGAACUUGAAGGAUUGAAAAGGGGCCUUGCACAUCUUGAGAAUGCCAGAGUAAAUGUUUCAGACAUAAUAACAGACCGACACAUUCAAGUAAAAGCCUAUAUAAAGAGGGAGAAAGGUGGCAUUAAACAUUGGUUUGAUGGAUGGCAUGUUGCUAAAGGAGGUUGACAACUGGAAAAAGUAUUACCCGCUGCCACGGUAACCGCCAAACUGUCCGCCUAGAAGCUGUAUCGCUAACAAUCGUAUGACGUCAUAACACGACGCAUGCAGUGUCCGGAGUUCUAAAACCGUUCGAUUAGCUGUUUUUGAGUUCACUAUGUUCAGAUCUAUUUUACCGAAUUUCACUUCUUUAUUUAAACUAUUUUAUACAUUGAAUCGUUUGCACACUCAGCUUAAACAUAAUUAGCCAUUUUUAUAGCAGUGUUA
rnacentral:lncRNA from 1 species